rnacentral:rRNA from 1 species
GAUGAACGCUAGCGGCAGGCCUAAUACAUGCAAGUCGAACGGUGAAGCAGGAGCUUGCUCCUGUGGAUCAGUGGCGAACGGGUGAGUAACACGUGAGCAAUCUGCCCUGGACUCUGGGAUAAGCGUUGGAAACGACGUCUAAUACCGGAUACGAGGCGUGGGGGCAUCCCCAACGCCUGGAAAGAACUUCGGUCCAGGAUGAGCUCGCGGCCUAUCAGGUAGUUGGUGAGGUAACGGCUCACCAAGCCUACGACGGGUAGCCGGCCUGAGAGGGUGACCGGCCACACUGGGACUGAGACACGGCCCAGACUCCUACGGGAGGCAGCAGUGGGGAAUAUUGCACAAUGGGCGCAAGCCUGAUGCAGCAACGCCGCGUGAGGGACGACGGCCUUCGGGUUGUAAACCUCUUUUAGCAGGGAAGAAGCGAAAGUGACGGUACCUGCAGAAAAAGCACCGGCUAACUACGUGCCAGCAGCCGCCGUAAUAC